CGGGGUGCAGCAGGCGCGAAAACUUUACAAUGCUCGAAAGUGUGAUAGGGGGAUACUCAGUGCUUACGCUUCUGGCGUAGGCUUUUGUCAAGUGUAGAUAACUUGGCGAAUAAGUGGUGGGCAAGACCGGUGCCAGCCGCCGCGGUAACACCGGCGCCACAAGUGGUCAUCACGAUUAUUGGGCCUAAAGCGUUCGUAGCCGGUUUGGUAAAUCUCUUGUGAAAUUGUGCGGCUUAACCGCACAGCGUGCAGGAGACACUACCAGACUCGAGACCGGGAGGGGGCAGAAGUAUUCCGUGGGGACCGGUAAAAUGGGAUAAUCCACGGAGGACUACCGAUGGCGAAGGCAUCUGUCCAGAACGGAUCUGACGGUGAGGAACGAAAGCCAGGGGAGCGAACCGGAUUAGAUACCCGAGUAGUCCUGGCCGUAAACGCUGUGAGCUAGGUGUCGCGUAUCUCACGUAGAUGCGCGGUGUCGAAAUGAAGAUGCUAAGCUCACCGCCUGGGAAGUACGGUCGCAAGACUGAAACUUUAAGGAAUUGGCGGGGGAGCAC
rnacentral:rRNA from 1 species